rnacentral:rRNA from 1 species
UCCUACGGGACGCAGCAGUAGGGAAUUUUCGUCAAUGGGCGCAAGCCUGAACGAGCAAUGCCGCGUGAACGAGGAAGGUCUUCGGAUCGUAAAGUUCUGUUGAAGGGGAAAAAGAGCGGAGAGAGGAAAUGGUCUCCGAUUGAUAUUACCCUUCGAGGAAGUCACGGCUAACUACGUGCCAGCAGCCGCGGUAAUACGUAGGUGGCGAGCGUUAUCCGGAUUUAUUGGGUUUAAAGGGUGCGUAGGCGGAAUAUCAAGUCAGCGGUAAAAAUUCGGGGCUCAACCCCGUCGUGCCGUUGAAACUG